UAACGACGGUGAGUAACUCCUCAUAGGU
rnacentral:piRNA from 1 species